rnacentral:sRNA from 1 species
GCCGGGCACGGUGAUGCACACCUGUCAUCCCAGCGACUUGGGAGGCUGAGGCAGGAGGAUUGCAAGUUGGAGGCCAGCCUCAGCAAUUUAGUGAGGCCCUCAGCAACUUAGCAAGACCCUGUCUCUA